rnacentral:rRNA from 1 species
GGUUAAGCGACUAAGCGUACACGGUGGAUGCCCUGGCAGUCAGAGGCGAUGAAGGACGUGCUAAUCUGCGAUAAGCGUCGGUAAGGUGAUAUGAACCGUUAUAACCGGCGAUUUCCGAAUGGGGAAAC